rnacentral:rRNA from 1 species
UUAAGCGACUAAGCGUACACGGUGGAUGCCCUGGCAGUCAGAGGCGAUGAAGGACGUGCUAAUCUGCGAAAAGCGUCGGUAAGGUGAUAUGAACCGUUAUAACCGGCGAUGUCCGAAUGGGGAAACCCAGUGUGAUUCGUCACACUAUCGUUAACUGAAUACAUAGGUUAACGAGGCGAACCGGGGGAACUGAAACAUCUAAGUACCCCGAGGAAAAGAAAUCAACCGAGAUUCCCCCAGUAGCGGCGAGCGAACGGGGAGCAGCCCAGAGUCUGAAUCAGCUUGUGUGUUAGUGGAACGGUCUGGAAAGUCCGACGGUACAGGGUGAUAGUCCCGUACACCAAAAUGCACAGGCUGUGAACUCGAAGAGUAGGGCGGGACACGUGGUAUCCUGUCUGAAUAUGGGGACCAUCCUCCAAGGCUAAAUACUCCUGACUGACCGAUAGUGAACCAGUACCGUGAGGGAAAGGCGAAAAGAACCCCGGCGAGGGAGUGAAAAGAACCUGAAACCGUGUACGUACAAGCAGUGGGAGCACCUUCGGGUGUGACUGCGUACCUUUGUAUAAUGGGUCAGCGACUUAUAUUCUGUAGCAAGGUUAACCGUAUAGGGGAGCCGCAGGGAAACCGAGUCUUAACUGGGCGUUAAGUUGCAGGGUAUAGACCCGAAACCCGGUGAUCUAGCCAUGGGCAGGUUGAAGGUUGGGUAACACUAACUGGAGGACCGAACCGACUAAUGUUGAAAAAUUAGCGGAUGACUUGUGGCUGGGGGUGAAAGGCCAAUCAAACCGGGAGAUAGCUGGUUCUCCCCGAAAGCUAUUUAGGUAGCGCCUCGUGAACUCAUCUUCGGGGGUAGAGCACUGUUUCGGCUAGGGGGUCAUCCCGACUUACCAACCCGAUGCAAACUACGAAUACCGAAGAAUGUUAUCACGGGAGACACACGGCGGGUGCUAACGUCCGUCGUGAAGAGGGAAACAACCCAGACCGCCAGCUAAGGUCCCAAAGUCAUGGUUAAGUGGGAAACGAUGUGGGAAGGCACAGACAGCCAGGAUGUUGGCUUAGAAGCAGCCAUCAUUUAAAGAAAGCGUAAUAGCUCACUGGUCGAGUCGGCCUGCGCGGAAGAUGUAACGGGCUAAACCAUGCACCGAAGCUGCGGCAGCGACACUAUGUGUUGUUGGGUAGGGGAGCGUUCUGUAAGCCUGCGAAGGUGUGCUGUGAGGCAUGCUGGAGGUAUCAGAAGUGCGAAUGCUGACAUAAGUAACGAUAAAGCGGGUGAAAAGCCCGCUCGCCGGAAGACCAAGGGUUCCUGUCCAACGUUAAUCGGGGCAGGGUGAGUCGACCCUAAGGCGAGGCCGAAAGGCGUAGUCGAUGGGAAACAGGUUAAUAUUCCUGUACUUGGUGUUACUGCGAAGGGGGGACGGAGAAGGCUAUGUUAGCCGGGCGACGGUUGUCCCGGUUUAAGCAUGUAGGCUGGUUAUCCAGGCAAAUCCGGAUAAUCAAGGCUGAGGUGUGAUGACGAGGCACUACGGUGCUGAAGUAACAAAUGCCCUGCUUCCAGGAAAAGCCUCUAAGCAUCAGGUAACAUCAAAUCGUACCCCAAACCGACACAGGUGGUCAGGUAGAGAAUACCAAGGCGCUUGAGAGAACUCGGGUGAAGGAACUAGGCAAAAUGGUGCCGUAACUUCGGGAGAAGGCACGCUGGUGUGUAGGUGAAGUCCCUGCGGAUGGAGCUGAGACCAGUCGAAGAUACCAGCUGGCUGCAACUGUUUAUUAAAAACACAGCACUGUGCAAACACGAAAGUGGACGUAUACGGUGUGACGCCUGCCCGGUGCCGGAAGGUUAAUUGAUGGGGUUAUCCGUAAGGAGAAGCUCUUGAUCGAAGCCCCGGUAAACGGCGGCCGUAACUAUAACGGUCCUAAGGUAGCGAAAUUCCUUGUCGGGUAAGUUCCGACCUGCACGAAUGGCGUAAUGAUGGCCAGGCUGUCUCCACCCGAGACUCAGUGAAAUUGAACUCGCUGUGAAGAUGCAGUGUACCCGCGGCAAGACGGAAAGACCCCGUGAACCUUUACUAUAGCUUGACACUGAACAUUGAGCCUUGAUGUGUAGGAUAGGUGGGAGGCUUUGAAGCGUGGACGCCAGUCUGCGUGGAGCCAACCUUGAAAUACCACCCUUUAAUGUUUGAUGUUCUAACGUUGGCCCCUGACCGGGGUUGCGGACAGUGUCUGGUGGGUAGUUUGACUGGGGCGGUCUCCUCCCAAAGCGUAACGGAGGAGCACGAAGGUUAGCUAAUCCUGGUCGGACAUCAGGAGGUUAGUGCAAUGGCAUAAGCUAGCUUGACUGCGAGCGUGACGGCGCGAGCAGGUGCGAAAGCAGGUCAUAGUGAUCCGGUGGUUCUGAAUGGAAGGGCCAUCGCUCAACGGAUAAAAGGUACUCCGGGGAUAACAGGCUGAUACCGCCCAAGAGUUCAUAUCGACGGCGGUGUUUGGCACCUCGAUGUCGGCUCAUCACAUCCUGGGGCUGAAGUAGGUCCCAAGGGUAUGGCUGUUCGCCAUUUAAAGUGGUACGCGAGCUGGGUUUAGAACGUCGUGAGACAGUUCGGUCCCUAUCUGCCGUGGGCGCUGGAGAAUUGAGGGGGGCUGCUCCUAGUACGAGAGGACCGGAGUGGACGCAUCACUGGUGUUCGGGUUGUCAUGCCAAUGGCACUGCCCGGUAGCUAAAUGCGGAAGAGAUAAGUGCUGAAAGCAUCUAAGCACGAAACUUGCCCCGAGAUGAGUUCUCCCUGAGACUAUAAGUCUCCUGAAGGAACGUUAAAGACGAUGACGUUGAUAGGCCGGGUGUGUAAGCGCAGCGAUGCGUUGAGCUAACCGGUACUAAUGAACCGUGAGGCUUAACCU